AAUUGGAAAAAUUUUGCAAAAGUGAGUUGUUACAUAGUACGUUGGAAUUUUAUUUGAAGCCAUGAAAAAUUUCGAACAGAUAGUUCAAAAAAUGCUAGAUGAACAGAAAGUAAUUAUUUUAAAAGAAACCGAAAGACUUUUAAAUAUCCAAGAAAAAAACUUUUUAGCAAUGUCAAUCUCAAACAUGAAAACAAUUACAGAUCGACUUGAUUCAAUUGAAAAUGAAAAAGUUUUUAUCAAAAAGAAAAUUAUUGCCAUGCAAAAAGACAUAGACAAUAUGAAAGAGAGUUUAAAUUCGCAAGUAGAAAUUUUUGUGGGGAAAUUGUCAGAAUUAAAUAAACAUAUAGAAACGGAAUUAAAGCAUAACGAAGAUAAAAAAAAAAUUGAGUCAAAAAAAAUCGUUAAAGUGCUUAAAAUAUUUAAUAAAAAUUUUUGCAAUAUUGAAAAGUAUCUAAGAUCAAUUACUGGCGUUUUAAUAUACGAACGGUUUGCAAACGAAACUGAAGAAUUUCAAGAUAAAGUUGGUAACGACGUGGAAGAACUGCAUCUAGAAGAUCAAAUGGACGAGAUUGAUGAUUUACUUGAUGAAGUUGAGCAAAAGUAUUGUUCAAAGGAAGAAAACACAUCAAACAAAAAUCGAACAAAACUUCCAUUUCAGAAAGAAACCAAUGUUUUGACUCUAAAUGUACCAAAAUCAAAGCAAAGUGAACUAGAUGAUAUUGUCAAUGAAAUUAUGAAUGAUGAUAGCUUGGAAAAGCCAUAUAAAAAUAAUUCACGAAGAUCAUCCACUCAUUCCCAAAGUUCUUCUUCAUCUCAAGAAGAAUCUAAAUUAAAGAUUAAAUGCUCAGAAAUUUUAAUUGGUGGUACACAGGCACAAUUUGGAGCUGCCAGCCACUUUUAUAAAAGGAUAACGUAGUUGUGGUCUAGGGUUACUUGAUUUCACUCAUCUUGGGAGGGGAUCUAUUACAACAUAUUGCCUAUGGCCCUUACAAUUUGCAUUCAGUGAUUCAAGCGAUAAAUAAAUGAGUAUGUAAUCAAAUUCAUUGUCUCUCUUGCGAUAACAGAGUUGUAUAUUUUGAUAACUAUGAAUGGAAUGAAGAAAGUUGUGAUUAUUUAGUAUUUAGAAAUAAUUAUCCUGAUUUCAGCAGAUUAAAGUUUGUGCUCCAUCCAAGAAACGGUUUCCGCGCAUAUUGUUGUCAAUGCAGUUGGUUGUACGUCAAAGAGCCGAUUGAAUUAGAAAAAUGUAAACCAAACUUCAAAUGGAUUUGCAAAAAACAUAAUCGUUAAUUCUUUUUCAAUAUAUAUUAUAAACAGUUUUAAUUAUACCUUU